rnacentral:rRNA from 1 species
UACAGAGGGUGCAAGCGUUGUUCGGAAUUAUUGGGCGUAAAGGGCGUGUAGGCGGUCUGGUAAGUCUUCUGUGAAAUCUACGGGCUUAGCCUGUAACGUGCAGAGGAAACUACCAGGCUUGAGUGUCGGAGAGGAUAGGGGAAUUCCCGGUGUAGAGGUGAAAUUCGUAGAGAUCGGGAGGAACACCAGUGGCGAAGGCGCCUAUCUGGCUGGCAACUGACGCUGAGGCUCGAAAGCAUGGGGAGCAAACAGG